UGCAGUCGAGCGGAUGAGUGGAGCUUGCUCCAUGAUUCAGCGGCGGACGGGUGAGUAAUGCCUAGGAAUCUGCCUGGUAGUGGGGGACAACGUUUCGAAAGGAACGCUAAUACCGCAUACGUCCUACGGGAGAAAGUGGGGGAUCUUCGGACCUCACGCUAUCAGAUGAGCCUAGGUCGGAUUAGCUAGUUGGUGAGGUAAAGGCUCACCAAGGCNACGAUCCGUAACUGGUCUGAGAGGAUGAUCAGUCACACUGGAACUGAGACACGGUCCAGACUCCUACGGGAGGCAGCAGUGGGGAAUAUUGGACAAUGGGCGAAAGCCUGAUCCAGCCAUGCCGCGUGUGUGAAGAAGGUCUUCGGAUUGUAAAGCACUUUAAGUUGGGAGGAAGGGCAGUAAGUUAAUACCUUGCUGUUUUGACGUUACCAACAGAAUAAGCACCGGCUAACUUCGUGCCAGCAGCCGCGGUAAUACGAAGGGUGCAAGCGUUAAUCGGAAUUACUGGGCGUAAAGCGCGCGUAGGUGGUUCGUUAAGUUGGAUGUGAAAGCCCCGGGCUCAACCUGGGAACUGCAUCCAAAACUGGCGAGCUAGAGUAUGGCA
rnacentral:rRNA from 1 species